rnacentral:rRNA from 1 species
CCUACGGGUGGCAGCAGUGGGGAAUAUUGCACAAUGGGGGAAACCCUGAUGCAGCGACGCCGCGUGAAGGAAGAAGUAUUUCGGUAUGUAAACUUCUAUCAGCAGGGAAGAAAGUGACGGUACCUUAGGAAUAAGCCUCGGCUAACUACGUGCCAGCAGCCGCGGUAAUACGUAGGAGGCAAGCGUUAUCCGGAAUGACUGGGCGUAAAGGGUGCGUAGGUGGUUUGACAAGUUAGUAGCGCAACUCCGGAGCUCAACUUCGGAACUACUACUAAAACUGUUGGACUUGAGUGCAGGAGGGGCAAUCGGAAUUCCUAGUGUAGCGGUGGAAUGCGUAGAUAUUAGGAGGAACACCAGUGGCGAAGGCGGAUUGCUAGACUGUAACUGACACUGAGGCACGAAAGCGUGGGGAGCAAACAGGAUUAGAUACCCGUGUAGUC